GAUGAACGCUGGCGGCGUGCCUAAUACAUGCAAGUCGAGCGAACAGAUGAGGAGCUUGCUCCUCUGACGUUAGCGGCGGACGGGUGAGUAACACGUGGAUAACCUACCUAUAAGACUAGGAUAACUUCGGGAAACCGGAGCUAAUACCGGAUAAUAUAUUGAACCGCAUGGUUCAAUAGUGAAAGACGGUUUUGCUGUCACUUAUAGAUGGAUCCGCGCCGCAUUAGCUAGUUGGUAAGGUAACGGCUUACCAAGGCAACGAUGCGUAGCCGACCUGAGAGGGUGAUCGGCCACACUGGAACUGAGACACGGUCCAGACUCCGACGGGAGGCAGCAGUAGGGAAUCUUCCGCAAUGGGCGAAAGCCUGACGGAGCAACGCCGCGUGAGUGAUGAAGGUCUUCGGAUCGUAAAACUCUGUUAUUAGGGAAGAACAAAUGUGUAAGUAACUAUGCACGUCUUGACGGUACCUAAUCAGAAAGCCACGGCUAACUACGUG
rnacentral:rRNA from 1 species